rnacentral:rRNA from 1 species
CAGCCGCCGCGGGAACACAGAGGGUGCGAGCGUUAAUCGGAUUUACUGGGCGUAAAGCGUGCGUAGGCGGCUAAUUGAGUCGGAUGUGAAAUCCCCGAGCUUAACUUGGGAAUUGCAUUCGAUACUGGUUAGCUAGAGUGUGGGAGAGGAUGGUAGAAUUCCAGGUGUAGCGGUGAAAUGCGUAGAGAUCUGGAGGAAUACCGAUGGCGAAGGCAGCCAUCUGGCCUAACACUGACGCUGAGGUACGAAAGCAUGGGGAGCAAACAGGAUUAGAUACCCCUGUAGUCCCUGUCUCUUAUAC